rnacentral:rRNA from 1 species
UACAGAGGUCUCAAGCGUUGUUCGGAUUCAUUGGGCGUAAAGGGUGCGUAGGCGGCGCGGUAAGUCGGGUGUGAAAUCUCGGGGCUUAAACUCCGAAACUGCAUUCGAUACUGCCGUGCUUGAGGACUGGAGAGGAGACUGGAAUUUACGGUGUAGCGGUGAAAUGCGUAGAUAUCGAUAAGGAAGACCAGUGGCGAAGGCGGGUCUCUGG